AUGUCAGGUUAGCUUUGGUGGGGUAAAGGCUCACCAAGGCGACGAUCUGUAGCGGGUCUUAGAGGAUGAUCCGCCACACUGGAACUGAGACACGGUCCAGACUCCUACGGGAGGCAGCAGUGGGGAAUUUUGGACAAUGGGCGCAAGCCUGAUCCAGCCAUGCCGCGUGAGCGAAGAAGGCCUUCGGGUUGUAAAGCUCUUUCGGCCGGGAAAAAAUCGCUUGGGUUAAUACCCUGAGUGGAUGAUGGUACCGGAAUAAGAAGCACCGGCUAACUACGUGCCAGCAGCCGCGGUAAUACGUAGGGUGCGAGCGUUAAUCGGAAUUACUGGGCGUAAAGCGUGCGCAGGCGGUUUUGUAAGACAGGCGUGAAAUCCCCGGGCUCAACCUGGGAACUGCGUUUGUGACUGCAAGGCUAGAGUAUGGCAGAGGGGGGUGGAAUUCCACGUGUAGCAGUGAAAUGCGUAGAGAUGUGGAGGAACACCAAUGGCGAAGGCAGCCCCCUGGGCCAAUACUGACGCUCAUGCACGAAAGCGUGGGGAGCAAACAGGAUUAGAUACCCUGGUAGUCCACGCCCUAAACGAUGUCAUCUAGGUGUUGGGUGGGUAAAACCAUUUGGUACCGUAGCUAACGCGUGAAGUUGACCGCCUGGGGAGUACGGCCGCAAGGUUAAAACUCAAAGGAAUUGACGGGGACCCGCACAAGCGGUGGAUGAUGUGGAUUAAUUCGAUGCAACGCGAAAAACCUUACCUACCCUUGACAUGCCAGGAACUUGCCAGAGAUGGCUUGGUGCCCGAAAGGGAGCCUGGACACAGGUGCUGCAUGGCUGUCGUCAGCUCGUGUCGUGGGAUGUUGGGUUAAGUCCCGCAACGAGCGCAACCCUUGUCGUUAAUUGCCAUCAUUUAGUUGGGCACUUUAACGAGACUGCCGGUGACAAACCGGAGGAAGGUGGGGAUGACGUCAAGUCCUCAUGGCCCUUAUGGGUAGGGCUUCACACGUCAUACAAUGGUCGGUACAAAGGGUUGCCAAGCCGCGAGGCGGAGCCAAUCCCAGAAAGCCGAUCGUAGUCCGGAUCGCAGGCUGCAACUCGCCUGCGUGAAGUCGGAAUCGCUAGUAAUCGUGGAUCAGCAUGUCACGGUGAAUACGUUCCCGGGUCUUGUACACACCGCCCGUCACACCAUGGGAGCGGGUUCCGCCAGAAGUAGGUAGCCUAACCGCAAGGAGGGCGCUUACCACGGCGGGGUUCGUGACUGGGGUGAAGUCGAAACAAGGUA
rnacentral:rRNA from 1 species